rnacentral:rRNA from 1 species
AUUGAACGCUGGCGGCAUGCCUUACACAUGCAAGUCGAACGGUAACAGGUCUUCGGAUGCUGACGAGUGGCGAACGGGUGAGUAAUACAUCGGAACGUGCCCGAGAGUGGGGGAUAACGAAGCGAAAGCUUUGCUAAUACCGCAUACGAUCUCAGGAUGAAAGCAGGGGGCCGCAAGGCCUUGCGCUCACGGAGCGGCCGGUGGCAGAUUAGGUAGUUGGUGGGAUAAAAGCUUACCAAGCCGACGAUCUGUAGCUGGUCUGAGAGGACGACCAGCCACACUGGGACUGAGACACGGCACAGACGCCUACGGGAGGCAGCAGUGGGGAAUUUUGGACAAUGGGCGCAAGCCUGAUCCAGCCAUGCCGCGUGCAGGAUGAAGGCCUUCGGGUUGUAAACUGCUUUUGUACGGAACGAAAAGACUCCUUCUAAUAAAGGGGGUCCAUGACGGUACCGUAAGAAUAAGCACCGGCUAACUACGUGCCAGCCGCCGCAGUAAAAC